rnacentral:tmRNA from 1 species
GGGGUCGACCGGAAUUGACAGGAUGGAGAUGAUCAGGUAAGCACGCAGCGCGUUGGGUGAAUUAGCGCUUUAAUCUGAACGCUCAAAACUACAAAUGGCGAAAAUAACUACGCCCUGGCUGCCUAAUUUAGAAUUAGCAUAGCCUUUGUCCCGCUGGUUUUUGUUCUAUCGAACCAGCACCAGGGGCAUCGAACAGAUUGAACUGGUUUGCCGGUGAUGCGAAAGGCGAACGAGACUAAGCAUCUACGGAAGAAGGUAUAGGUGAGUUACUGACCUUCCCCUUCCCGACAAUUUAACAGAACUAAGCGCGUAGAAAGCUUGAAUUAUACCAUGUUUGGACGA